AUUGAACGCUAGCGGGAUGCCUUACACAUGCAAGUCGAACGGCAGCGCGGACUUCGGUCUGGCGGCGAGUGGCGAACGGGUGAGUAAUGUAUCGGAACGGGCCCAGUAGCGGGGGAUAACUACUCGAAAGAGUAGCUAAUACCGCAUACGCCCUACGGGGGAAAGGGGGGGAUCGCAAGACAGCUCACGAUUGGAGCGGCCCAUAUAGAAUUAGCUAGUUGGGGAGGUAAAGGCUCACCAAGGCGACGAUCCGUAGAUGGUUUGAGAGGACGACCAGCCACACUGGGACUGAGACACGGCCCAGACUCCUACGGGAGGCAGCAGUGGGGAAUUUUGGACAAUGGGGGCAACCCUGAUCCAGCCAUUCCGCGUGUGCGAUGAAGGCCUUCGGGUUGUAAAGCACUUUUGGCAGGAAAGAAAUCGCACGGAUUAAUACUCUGUGUGGAUGACGGUACCUGCAGAAUAAGCACCGGCUAACUACGUGCCAGCCGCCGCCGUAA
rnacentral:rRNA from 1 species